UACGAAGGGGGCUAGCGUUGCUCGGAAUCACUGGGCGUAAAGCGCACGUAGGCGGCUUUCUAAGUCAGGGGUGAAAUCCUGGAGCUCAACUCCAGAACUGCCUUUGAUACUGGGGAGCUCGAGUCCGGAAGAGGUGAGUGGAACUCCGAGUGUAGAGGUGAAAUUCGUAGAUAUUCGCAAGAACACCAGUGGCGAAGGCGGCUCACUGGCCCGGUACUGACGCUGAGGUGCGAAAGCGUGGGGAGCAAACAGG
rnacentral:rRNA from 1 species